ACGCGGAAGAGGCCAAACCGGAGGUAGCAAUAUUUCCGGGGUUAGGACUGCAAUAUGUAGCUUUUAUUUCUAACUGAACGCUUUGGGAAGAGCGACGAUACAGGGUGAUAGUCCCGUAAGUGAAAGGAAUAGAGCGCUAGCAGUAUCCAGAGUACCAGCGGACACGUGAAACCCGCUGGGAAGAUGGGGGGACC
rnacentral:rRNA from 1 species